CAUUUGGGUCGGGAAACCCGGGACCGAGCGGAGAAGUCUGACGUUUCCCACCAGCAGCACAACCGGAGAUAAUGAGAGCAGCCAAGAAAGACGAUCAGUAUGCUUCGUUUGUGUACGACGCCCUUCGCCACCUCUUCGGUACCAGAGUUGCUGUAGCCUGUCAGAGUGAGGUUAGCCCCUUCGUCUUUUACUUGUAUCGGAUGAAUUUUAGCAGUGUGAGCUUCUGCGAGUUCUAAUACAGUGAGGCAAAUCCAGUGUAGCAGGAGUGUCAACGUAGUGGAAAGAUGAUGUUUUUCCAGUUUAUGCUAUCAAUAAGGUCGAGAUUUGCCAGUCUUAAAUGAAGAAGGCAAUGUUAUACCUAUGGACCCUGAAAAGGGUGGUAUGAUGAUAUCAGAUUCCGCGUCAACUUCAGAGGCAAAAUUUCAAUAUUUCAGUCUCAAGCAAUAACUGGGGCCAGUAAGUGCACGCUCUGCCUGAGACAUCGCCAGUAUCCGACAGCUACGGCGUGUGGUCAUGUAUUCUGCUGGAACUGCAUUAUAGAAUGGUGCAAUGAGCAGCCCGAGUGCCCCCUCUGCCGUACUCCGAUAACCCAUUCAAGCCUAGUUUGUUUGUUAUCACACAAUUCUGUAUUCUAUCGCGUUCAAAAUUACCAUAAUGUAUCGAUAUUAGAGUGUACUUUUAUUGAAAUAAUUACUACGCAGCAGGUUUUUUGAGAAUGAAGGA